GCCGGGAUGCUGGAAUUGGUAGACAGGCAUGCUUGAGGUGCAUGUGUCAGUAAUGACGUGGAGGUUCAAGUCCUCUUCCCGGCA
rnacentral:tRNA from 1 species